rnacentral:ncRNA from 2 species
UAAAAGCAUAGAGGUAGCGAUGUAAAAGAGUAUGAUUUGGAGCCGGCAGGCAAUGAAAAAUCAGAAAGGUAGCCAUCGCCGAAUGAACGUCUGGGCACAGAUGAACUCAUGGGGUUAUAGGGAACACUUAUAACACUCCUACGAAAGUAGAGGCGCUAGCAAAAA